rnacentral:rRNA from 1 species
UACGGGGGGGAGCAAGCGUUUGUUCGGAUUUACUGGGCGUAAAGGGCGCGUAGGCGGUCGUGACAAGUCACUUGUGAAAUCUCCGGGCUUAACUCGGAACGGUCAAGUGAUACUGUCGGACUAGAGUACAGAAGGGGCAACUGGAAUUCUCGGUGUAGCGGUGAAAUGCGUAGAUAUCGAGAGGAACACCUGCGGCGAAGGCGGGUUGCUGGGCUGAUACUGACGCUGAGGCGCGAAAGCCGGGAGGGCGCAAACGGG